GCUUGUCUCAAAGAUUAAGCCAUGCAUGUCUAAGUAUAAAUAACUACACAGUAAAACUGCGAAUGGCUCAUUAAAACAGUUAUAGUUUAUUUGAUACAUUAUAAAUGGAUAACUGUAGAAACACUAGAGCUAAUACAUGCCAAGCCCGCAAGGGCGUAUUUAUUAGAUAACAGACCAAUAUUCCUCGUGUCUAUUGUGGUGAAUCAUAGUAACUGAUCGGAUCGCAUGGGCUACGCCCGCGACAAACCAUUCAAGUUUCUGCCCCAUCAGCUUUCGAUGGUAGUGUAUUGGACUACCAUGGCUUUUACGGGUAACGGAGGAUUAGGGUUCGAUUCCGGAGAGGGAGCCUGAGAAACGGCUACCACAUCUAAGGAAGGCAGCAGG
rnacentral:rRNA from 1 species